CUUUGAAAAACGAAGCAAAAGGUAGGCUACAAAAUUAACGUCUAUCUGACGGACCCCCGCGUUGAAGAACGACGAAAAAGGUACCCAUCUUUCGUCGGAAAUUCUCGCUGGUGACGUCGGUAUGCGUAUAAAGUGAUGCGUGGUAUGUGGACGCAUCUGCCCUCCACAGAAGUUAAUGCUGGGUUUUGAGUAUCAUAUGCACGCGAAAUUGUCAUUUGGCGUAUGUACUGCACGCAUUUUGAAAGUGUCAAACCGUGCGAUCUGUACGCAUAUUGGUGAGACUGAGUUGUUCAUUCAGUCCUUCUAGUUGCAGAGUUCGCUCAUGCUAGGCUAGCGCUCAAUGGGAAAUACUAGCCUGCUAAUAAAACAGUCUUACCCACUCCACAGUACACCCGAGGUAAAUCAAUUAUGACGCCAGACUAUAGAUGUAAAUGUCUGUUUUGAUAAAACUAACCUCCCACCUUAUGAAUCAUCGCAUUUUGAGGGACUACUUUCUCAGCGGCAGCGGAAUUUUAUCUAGGUAUCAGUCCGCCGCUGCCGUAGCCUACUCGCCUCCUACAAGGAAUAUAACACUGAUGCUGAGACACAGCAAGUCCCACAAAAUGCAAUGCAAUGCAAGGCGCUGUCACACUUCAGUCCCCCUGGGUGCCCGUCUGGGAUCCGCCGGGCUCAUCAACGGUGUGUGGGGCUGGAGGAGCAGGGGAGAAAGCUAUACUGGGAGCUGAUGCAGGCCGUAAAUCUCCCCGGGUGGCGAGGGAGGGGCGGCCUGCGGUGUCCACUCUAACACCGCAGUCCGGCAUGAGGUGAGGGAUGGAGGCUGCCGCAGGGGACCCCGACGGGCAGCCCGACGGGCAGCCCAUGGGGGCAGGCUCGCUAACGGCCAACAGAGAUUUAGACAACAACAAGGAGUCUCAAAUGAUGUCAUUUGGAUCUCUGGAAAACAAUUGAUGUCACUAUUGCCAAAGAUCAUUCAAAUAUCGUCAUGUCCACCAUUGGAAAUGUAUCAUGAAUAAUG